rnacentral:rRNA from 1 species
CAUGCAGUCGAGCGGAACGAGUUAUCUGAACCUUCGGGGRACGAUAACGGCGUCGAGCGGCGGACGGGUGAGUAAUGCCUAGGAAAUUGCCCUGAUGUGGGGGAUAACCAUUGGAAACGAUGGCUAAUACCGCAUGAUGCCUACGGGCCAAAGAGGGGGACCUUCGGGCCUCUCGCGUCAGGAUAUGCCUAGGUGGGAUUAGCUAGUUGGUGAGGUAAGGGCUCACCAAGGCGACGAUCCCUAGCUGGUCUGAGAGGAUGAUCAGCCACACUGGAACUGAGACACGGUCCAGACUCCUACGGGAGGCAGCAGUGGGGAAUAUUGCACAAUGGGCGCAAGCCUGAUGCAGCCAUGCCGCGUGUGUGAAGAAGGCCUUCGGGUUGUAAAGCACUUUCAGUCGUGAGGAAGGUGGUGUAGUUAAUAGCUGCAUCAUUUGACGUUAGCGACAGAAGAAGCACCGGCUAACUCCGUGCCAGCAGCCGCGGUAAUACGGAGGGUGCGAGCGUUAAUCGGAAUUACUGGGCGUAAAGCGCAUGCAGGUGGUUUGUUAAGUCAGAUGUGAAAGCCCGGGGCUCAACCUCGGAAUAGCAUUUGAAACUGGCAGACUAGAGUACUGUAGAGGGGGGUAGAAUUUCAGGUGUAGCGGUGAAAUGCGUAGAGAUCUGAAGGAAUACCGGUGGCGAAGGCGGCCCCCUGGACAGAUACUGACACUCAGAUGCGAAAGCGUGGGAGCAAACAGGAUUAGAUACCCUGGUAGUCCACGCCGUAAACGAUGUCUACUUGGAGGUUGUGGCCUUGAGCCGUGGCUUUCGGAGCUAACGCGUUAAGUAGACCGCCUGGGGAGUACGGUCGCAAGAUUAAAACUCAAAUGAAUUGACGGGGGCCCGCACAAGCGGUGGAGCAUGUGGUUUAAUUCGAUGCAACGCGAAGAACCUUACCUACUCUUGACAUCCAGAGAACUUUCCAGAGAUGGAUUGGUGCCUUCGGGAACUCUGAGACAGGUGCUGCAUGGCUGUCGUCAGCUCGUGUUGUGAAAUGUUGGGUUAAGUCCCGCAACGAGCGCAACCCUUAUCCUUGUUUGCCAGCGAGUAAUGUCGGGAACUCCAGGGAGACUGCCGGUGAUAAACCGGAGGAAGGUGG